UACGUAGGGUGCAAGCGUUAAUCGGAAUUACUGGGCGUAAAGCGUGCGUAGGCGGUUUGUUAAGUCUGCUGUGAAAUCCCCGGGCUCAACCUGGGAAUGGCAGUGGAUACUGGCAAGCUAGAGUGUGUCAGAGGAUGGUGGAAUUCCCGGUGUAGCGGUGAAAUGCGUAGAGAUCGGGAGGAACAUCAGUGGCGAAGGCGGCCAUCUGGGACAACACUGACGCUCAGGCACGAAAGCGUGGGGAGCAAACAGG
rnacentral:rRNA from 1 species